AGAGUUUGAUCAUGGCUCAGAACGUACGCUGGCGGCACGCCUAACACAUGCAAGUCGAACGCAGUAGCAAUACUGAGUGGCAAACGGGUGAGUAUAAUGUGGGAAUCUGCCUUUUGGUUUGGAAUAACACGGGGAAACUUGUGCUAAUACCAAAUAAGCCCUUACGGGGAAAGUUUUAAUGCCGAAAGAUGAGCCCGCACUUGAUUAGCUAGUUGGUAAGGUAAAAGCUUACCAAGGCAACGAUCAAUAGCUGUUCUUAGAGGAAGACCAGCCACAUUGGGACUGAGACACGGCCCAGACUCCUACGGGAGGCAGCAGUGGGGAAUCUUGCACAAUGGGGGAAACCCUGAUGCAGCGAUGCCGCGUGAGUGAAGAAGGCCUUUGGGUUGUAAAGCUCUUUCGUCGGGGAAGAAAAUGACUGUACCCGAAUAAGAAGGUCCGGCUAACUUCGUGCCAGCAGCCGCGGUAAUACGAAGGGACCUAGCGUAGUUCGGAAUUACUGGGCUUAAAGAGUUCGUAGGUGGUUGAAAAAGUUGGUGGUGAAAUCCCAGAGCUUAACUCUGGAACUGCCAUCAAAACUUUUCAGCUAGAGUAUGAUAGAGGAAAGCAGAAUUUCUAGUGUAGAGGUGAAAUUCGUAGAUAUUAGAAAGAAUACCAAUUGCGAAGGCAGCUUUCUGGAUCAUUACUGACACUGAGGAACGAAAGCAUGGGUAGCGAAGAGGAUUAGAUACCCUCGUAGUCCAUGCCGUAAACGAUGUGUGUUAGACGUUGGAAAUUUAUUUUCAGUGUCGCAGCGAAAGCGAUAAACACACCGCCUGGGGAGUACGACCGCAAGGUUAAAACUCAAAUGAAUUGACGGGGACCCGCACAAGUAGUGGAGCAUGUGGUUUAAUUCGAAGAUACGCGCAGAACCUUACCAACACUU
rnacentral:rRNA from 1 species